GAUGAACGCUGGCGGCGUGCCUAAUACAUGCAAGUCGAGCGAACGGACGAGUAGCUUGCUUCUCUCUUGUUACCGGCGGAUGGGUGACUCACACGUGGACAACCUACAUAUAAGACUGGGCUACAUUAGGGCAACCCGAACUACUACCGGAUCAUAUUUUGAACCGCACGGUUCAAAAGUGAAAGACGGUCUUGCUUUCACUUAUAGAUGAAUCCGCGCUGCAUUAGCUAGUUGGUAAGGUAACGGAUUACCAAGGCAACGAGUCAUAGCCGACCGGAGCGGGGGAUGGGCCACACGAGAAGUGGGACACGGACCAGACGCCUGCGGGAGGCAGCAGUAGGGAAUGGGCCGCAGUGGGCGAAAGUCUGACGGAGCAGCGCCGCGUGAGAGAUGAAGGUGUUGGGAGCGUAAAGCACGGUUAUGAGGGAAGAACAUAUGUGUAAGGAGCUGUGCAGAUCUUGACGGUACCUGAUCAGAAAGCCACGGCUAACUACGUG
rnacentral:rRNA from 1 species